GUGUAUAUUGGUCCAUCAUAGUUAGAAGAUCAAUCCAAUUGUGAGGUACAUGAAGUCCUGGUUUUUUCAGUUGUACUAGUGAUUGUAGCGUUGAUGAAAUUUGGUAGAUAACUCUAUUUACUGACACUGAUUCACCGUAUUUCAAACUAUUUCUUCUCUUCCAUAACUCCCAUACAAUGCAUGCAGGUAAAGCUUGAAAGAUUGAUUUCAGUCUAGG
rnacentral:lncRNA from 1 species